UACGAAGGGGGCUAGCGUUGUUCGGAAUUACUGGGCGUAAAGCGCACGUAGGCGGCUUUGUAAGUUAGAGGUGAAAGCCCAGGGCUCAACCCUGGAAUUGCCUUUAAGACUGCAUCGCUAGAAUUGUGGAGAGGUAAGUGGAAUUCCGAGUGUAGAGGUGAAAUUCGUAGAUAUUCGGAAGAACACCAGUGGCGAAGGCGACUUACUGGACACAUAUUGACGCUGAGGUGCGAAAGCGUGGGGAGCAAACAGG
rnacentral:rRNA from 1 species